UACAGAGGUGGCAAGCGUUGUUCGGAAUUACUGGGCGUAAAGCGCGUGUAGGCGGCUCUUCAAGUCAGGCGUGAAAGCCCCGGGCUCAACUCGGGAACUGCGCUUGAUACUGUCGAGCUAGAGUGUGGAAGGGGCGAUUGGAAUUCCGUGUGUAGCGGUGAAAUGCGUAGAUAUACGGAGGAACACCAGAGGCGAAGGCGGAUCGCUGGGCCAACACUGACGCUGAGACGCGAAAGCUAGGGUAGCAAACGGGG
rnacentral:rRNA from 1 species